CCCGCUGAACUUAAGCAUAUCAAUAAGCGGAGGAAAAGAAACUAACAAGGAUUCCCCUAGUAACUGCGAGUGAACCGGGAAAAGCUCAAAUUUUGAAUCUGGCGGUCUUCAGGCCGUCCGAGUUGUAAUCUAGAGAAGCGUCUUCCGCGCUGGACCGUGUAUAAGUUUCCUGGAAUGGAACGUCGUAGAGGGUGAGAAUCCCGUCUUUGACACGGACUGCCAGUGCAUUGUGAUGCGCUCUCGAAGAGUCGAGUUGUUUGGGAAUGCAGCUCAAAAUGGGUGGUAAAUUCCAUCUAAAGCUAAAUAUUGGGGAGAGACCGAUAGCGAACAAGUACCGUGAGGGAAAGAUGAAAAGAACUUUGGAAAGAGAGUUAAACAGUACGUGAAAUUGCUGAAAGGGAAACGCUUGAAGUCAGUCGCGUCGCUCAGGACUCAGCCUUGCUUUUGCUUGGUGUACUUCCUGUUCGAUGGGUCAGCAUCAAUUUCGAUCGGUGGAUAAAGGCUUAGAGAAUGUGGCAUCUUCGGGUGUGUUAUAGCUCUUCGUCGCAUACAUCGGUUGGGAUUGAGGAACUCAGCACGCCGCAAGGCCGGGUACUUGUACCACGUUCGUGCUUAGGAUGCUGGCAUAAUGGCUUUAAUCGACCCGUCUUGAAACACGG
rnacentral:rRNA from 1 species